rnacentral:rRNA from 1 species
GGCGGCGUGCCUAACACAUGCAAGUCGAGCGGGACGAUUGCGACGGAGACGAAGUACUCGUACGGAGUCAAAGAUGUAAUGUUCUAGCGGCGGACGGGUGAGUAACGCGUGAGCAACCUGUCCUUACAGGGGAUAACACAGCGAAAGUUGUACUAAUACCGCAUAAGACCACAGGAUGACAUCGUCCGAGGGGUCAAAGGAGCAAUCCGGUAAGGGGUGGGCUCGCGUCCGAUUAGAUAGUUGGUGAGGUAACGGCCCACCAAGUCGACGAUCGGUAGCCGACCUGAGAGGGUGAUCGGCCACAUUGGGACUGAGACACGGCCCAAACUCCUACGGGAGGCAGCAGUGGGGAAUAUUGGGCAAUGGGGGGAAACCCUGACCCAGCAACGCCGCGUGAGGGAAGAAGGUUUUCGGAUCGUAAACCUCUGUCCCAGGUGAAGAGGAGGAGACGGUAGCCAAGGAGGAAGCCCCGGCUAACUACGUGCCAGCAGCCGC